UACAGAGGGGGACAAGCGUUGUUCGGAAUUACUGGGCGUAAAGGGCGCGUAGGCGGCCUGUUAAGUCGAACGUGAAAUCCCCGGGCUCAACCCGGGAACUGCGUCCGAUACUGGUAGGCUUGAAUCCGGGAGAGGGAUGCGGAAUUCCAGGUGUAGCGGUGAAAUGCGUAGAUAUCUGGAGGAACACCGGUGGCGAAGGCGGCAUCCUGGACCGGCAUUGACGCUGAGGCGCGAAAGCCAGGGGAGCAAACGGG
rnacentral:rRNA from 1 species